rnacentral:rRNA from 1 species
AACAGAAGCUUCGGUGGAAGAUUACUAAUGAGAGUGGCGAACGGGUGAGUAACGCGUGAGCAACCUGCCUAUGACAGUGGGAUAGCCUCGGGAAACCGGGAUUAAUACCGCAUAAAAUCGUAGAAACACAUGUUUUAACGGUCAAAGAUUUAUCGGUCAUAGAUGGGCUCGCGUCUGAUUAGCUAGUUGGUGAGAUAACAGCCCACCAAGGCGACGAUCAGUAGCCGGUCUGAGAGGAUGAACGGCCACAUUGGAACUGAGACACGGUCCAAACUCCUACGGGAGGCAGCAGUGGGGAAUAUUGCACAAUGGGGGAAACCCUGAUGCAGCGACGCCGCGUGAACGAAGAAGGUAUUCGUAUCGUAAAGUUCUGUCCUAUGGGAAGAUAAUGACAGUACCAUAGAAGAAAGCUCCGGCUAAAUACGUGCCAGCAGCCGCGGUAAUACGUAUGGAGCGAGCAUUGUCCGGAAUUAUUGGGCGUAAAGGGUACGCAGGCGGUUUAAUAAGUCGAAUGUUAAAGAUCGGGGCUCAACCCCGUAAAGCAUUGGAAACUGAUAAACUUGAGUAGUGGAGAGGAAAGUGGAAUUCCUAGUGUAGUGGUGAAAUACGUAGAUAUUAGGAGGAAUACCAGUAGCGAAGGCGACUUUCUGGACACAAACUGACGCUGAGGUACGAAAGCGUGGGGAGCA